CUGUAUGUCAUUAAAAAGGUAUUGCCAAAUGCGUAUCACGCAACCAUUUCGGUAGCUUGUUUACAUUUAAUUUUGGGCAAGAUUAAUUAUAGAAUACAUUCAAAUUUAAUUCCUACUCAUAAUCUAAUCUUUUCAUUAGCAAUACUUAAGGCCGAACUCAGACCGUCGCCCAGAUGAGAAGUGGUCAAAGCGACAAUGGAAGGGACAUUUUUGGACGCUUAAAAUUACAAGUGUUUGGCAAAUAUCGCCACGGAUGUGAAUUACACGGCACCAUAUUGAAGGCGUUUGCCAACCGGGUCAACUUAUCCUGAGGAGCUCCAAGGGAAAAGAAGGGACGUACUGAAAAGACGUAGUUGGACGUGCGGCUGGAGUGCGGAACUAAUGCCUCUCAUUCCAGAUUAGAUUUCGCAAGUUCAACGUUGGUUAUUGUCGAAGCUGCAGUCAGAAGAAGCGACCGCUAGCGGCCAGGACUAGCUCAGGCUCUGCGCCAGAGGGCCCGGAGACAGUGCGUCGGUGGUCCAGAGAUGACCACGUGGUCAGCGCGGGUAUUCGUUCCCGGAACGGUCUCACCGAGUGAAUCUCCGUAUGUGGCCGUCUCGGAGGCCGUUGCUGGAGCUGCUGACGCUGGAUGCUGCUGCUGCUGCUGAUCUGAUCGCUGCUGCAGAUCGCUGCUGCAGUUGCUACGGAUCACUGCUGCUGCCACGGAUCACGGCUGCUGCUGGUGGACGACGUGGUCUUCACGACCAGGUUAGGUCCGCCAGCAACUUAAGCACAAAAAAUCGCUGGGGACGAAAUUGCGGCGAUACACUUCCUGACCUGGCUUCCCAAGGAAAGUAUGAGCCCUUUCGUCGUACCGCAGCCGACUCCGAUCGUAUGUAUUUUCGAGGUUCUUCUGCACCUUGUCAUGCAUCACUUGGAGUUUAUCAGCCGUUCCC